CAGCCCCCCAAGUACCUGGGAUUACAGGUGCGUGCCACCAUGCCCAGCUAAUUUCUGUAUUUUUUAAUUUUGUAUUUUUAAUUUUUGAAGUGACAGGGUUUCACCAUGUCGGCUAGGCUGGUCUCAAACUCCUGACCUCAGGUGACCCACCUGCCUCGGCCUCCCAAAGUGCUGGGUUUACAGGCAUGAGCCACUGUGCCUGGCCUCCUCUUGUUCAGUUACCUGUGGUCAAUUGUGGUCUGAAAGUAUUAAAUAGAAAGUUGCAGAAAUAAACAAUUUGUAAGUUUAAGCACCAUCCUGGGUAACUUCAUGAAAUCUCUUGCCAUCCUGCUCCAUUUCACCCGGGUGUGAAUAAUCCUGUCUAGGAUAUUCAUAACCUGUAUACAUUACCACCCAUGGUGGCUGAUAUUGUCUGCUCCUGACAUCCAGCCAUCAACACCAUUACAGCUUGACGAUCCAGGAUCACCUGAAGCAGAUGAUCCCCCUGAGGUAUUAAUAUCAUCAGGUUAAAGUGGCCUAAGGCUACAUACAUCACAGUGCCCACACCAUUCACCUCACUUCCCCUCAUUGAAUUUUAUCAUUGCAUCAUCACAAGAAGGGUGGGUAUGGCAAAGAUUUAGAGAGAGACCACAUUUGCAUAACAAUAUAAUUCUUCUAUUUUAUCAGUAGUUGUUAAGCUCUUACUGUGCCUAAUUAAAAAACUUUAUCAUAGGCAUGUAUGUAUAGGAGAAAACAUAGUAUAUAUAGGGUUCAGUAUUAUGUGAUUUCAGGCAUCCACUGGGGGUCAACAUAUUCACCACCGAUAAGCGGGGGGACUAUUGUGAACUACUGUACUCUAAUAUAAAACCAGAUAAAGACAUUACAAGAAAAAUAUGCACCAAUAUCUCUCAUGAACAUAAAUGCAAAAAUCCUCACUAUAGAACUUCCAGAAAAUAACAUACAAGAAAAUCUAGAUGACCUAGAAUUUAGUGAUGACUUUUUAGAUACAACACCAAAGACACCAUCUGUGAAAGAAAAUAACUGUUAAGUGAAAGAUGCUAAGCUGGGUGCCGUGGCUCACGUCUGUAAUCUCAUCACUUUGGAAGGCCAAGGCAGGUGGAUCACUUGAGGGCAGGAGUUCAAGACCAACCUGGCCAACAUGGCAAAACCCCAUCUCUACAAAGUAAAAAAUAAAAAAAUUAGGCGAGCAUGGUGGCACAUGCCUGUAGUCCCAGCUACUCGGGAGGUAGAGGUUGCAGUGAGCCAUGAUCAUGCCACUGCACUCCAGCCUGGGCGACAGAGCAAGACUACGUCUCAAAAAAAAAAAAAAAAAAAUCUGUCACUAGAAUGAGAAGAAAAGCCACAAACAGAAAACUAUCUGUAAAACACAUAAAGGACUUGUAUCCGAAUUUUGCAAAAAUUUGAGUUUAGUCUUAAAACUAAAGAAAACUAUUAACCCAGUUAAAAAAUUGGCAGUAGGUCUGAACAGACACCUCACCCAAUAAGAUACACAGAUGGCAAAUAAGCAUAUGAAAAGAUGCUAUAUGUCACAUAUCAUUAAGGAAUUGCAAAUUAAAACCACCAGAUACCACUAAACACCUCUUAGAACAGUGAAAAUGCAAAACACAAUACCAAAUGCUGAAAAGGAUACAGAACAACAGGAACCCAUUGCUGGUAGAAACAUGCAAAAUGGUACAGCCACUUUGGAAGAGUUUGGCAGUUUCUUACAAAGCAAUACAAGGUCUUACUAUACAGUCAAGCACUCAUACUCAUAGAUAUUUACCCAAAUGAAUUGAAAACUUAUGUCCACACAAAAUCCUACACAUGGAUAUUUAUUUUGUCAGAGCAGAAGAACCACACAAAAUCCUGCACAUGGAUAUUUGUCAGAGCAUAAGAACUUGAGCACAUGGCUAUUUAUAGCAGCUUUAUUCAUAAUUGCACCAAACAAGAAGCAACCAAGAUGUCUUUCAGUAGGUAAAUGGAUUUUUAAAAAAGGUACAUUCAUAUAAUGAAAUAUUAUACAGUGAUUAAAAAGAAAUGAGUAAUGAAUCUAGGAAAACACACGGAGGAACCCUACAUGCAUCUGCUGUGUGAAAGAAGCCAGUUUGAAAAGGCUGCAUAUUGUGUGAUUCCAACUACAUGACAUUUUGGAAAAGGCUGAAACUAUAGUGACAGUCAAAAGUCCAGGGGUCCAGAGGAGAGAGAAGGGAUGAACAGCUAGAACACAUGGGGUUUUCAGGGCAGUUAAAUUCUUCUGUGUGACACUAUAUAAUGGUGGUUAAAUUAUGCAUUUGUCAAAACUCAACAAUGUACAGCACAAAGAGUGAACCCUAAUGUAAACUGUGGAUGUUAAUAAUAAUGUAUCCAUAUGAAACAAUUGCUGAUCCUUAAAAAUGUACCACAUUUUAGCUGUUACUUUUCCAAGCACAGCUAUAUUUAAAAAAAAAAAAAGACCACACUAACGCAAGAAGAUGUUAAUAAUAGGAGAAACUGGGGGAAGGAUGUUGAGAGGCUCUGGGGGAACUCUGUACUAUCUGAUCAAUUUUCGGUACCAUUUGAGCACUUUUAAAUUGCUCUGUAAAAUAACUUAAGAAUUGGCCGGGCGCAGUGGCUCACGCCUAUAAUCCCAGCACUUUGGG
rnacentral:lncRNA from 10 species